GACAACUCUAACUGUGCCAGUCGCCUCUGCCCACAAAGACCCUCUCCGUUUUCACGGUCCCCGUUGCUGACCCACAAAACGGUCGCAAAAGUUCCACCAACCUGCCCAGGCGCCACACCUUACAAUGGCAGUGCAGCCGAACCACUUUUUAAAGAUCUAGACAGUGGAGACCCGUCAUCUCUUUUCUCCUCAACCCCAGAACAUUCCACCUCUGGCCUCCGAGCCCCAGCCUCAGUUCCCCUCCAGGCCCUAGGAACCCUGCUCUCCGGCGGCACGGCCUGUGGACCCCAGACCGGCUCUCCGUUUGGGUCUGGAACUCUCCCGGCGCCGCCUGACCCGAUUCAGUCAAAGGAUGGCGGUGGAUGGGGUGACCUGGAUCACCGCAGCCGGCAAACUUACCCCAGCCGCCAUGGUGAUUCCGCAGAGAAAGGGGGUGGGGCUGUCGGUGCUGCCGCAAAGUAAGCCGCCAGGGAGACAAGGGAGAGAGGAAGGGGACAGCGUGCGGAAACAGCGGCCGGAAAGCGAGGACGGCAUAAAAGGCAUACGCACGACAGUUCCGUCUCCAGCCGCGCUGAGUUGGAAAAAGCAAGGGGUGGGGCCCACGGCCCGGAGCGCUGGCGCCUGCGUAGUAUGGCUCUGGACAGGACCGCCCCGGCCGUGUGGCCGACCAAUCGGAAGCCUAAUAGGAGACAGAGCUCACCGAGGGCGGGAAGAGUGUGAGAACCGGCGGAAGCACCGCCCCUCGACCGCUUGUAGCUGUAUCCUAUUACGAACUACAACCGCAAGGAAAGGGUGGCAGUUUACGAAAUUCCUUUUGUUCCUUUUCGGGUUUUUCUAUUAAGGGAUAUGUCUGUCCAGCCGGGGCCCGUGGCCGAAAACAUCUGGAAGUAGGUCUGCUCUGAUUAAACGAUCUUGCUGUUAACUUCUACAACAAAGGGGACCGGACCAAUUUGCCGUGUCACUGCACCUCUCAGGCCGGGCUGCGCCUCAGAGGAUCGGAUCCAAGAAGAGGUCCAGAUCACAGCCAUGAACAUCAAAGCUGUUUACAGAAGAGCCAAAAGGAUGGACCACACAGCCUAGGUACCAAAGAAUAAAGAUUAAAAGACAGUAGAGGGCCAGCAAGAUGGCGCAGAAAGUAAAGGCACUUGCCACCAGGUCUGAUAACCUGAGUUCAAUCCCCAGGACCCAUGGGGGUGGAAGAAGAGAACCAACUCCUGAAAGUUACCCUGUGACCUCUAUAAGCAUGUGUGUCUCUUGUGCACACACAUAAAGAGGGGUAAAAAAGGCGGGGAGGUGCAGAGGUUCAAGAACAAACAUACUGGGGGGCAAAGAUGGAAGAGCCAGGAAAUGGAACACCUGCAGCUGCGGGGGGACUGAGGGUUCAAACAGGGGCAGGUAGACCAACAGAGGUGUCAGAGAGCUCAGACUUAGAGCAGGGGACUCACCAGGGAAGAACUCUGUGAAGACCUCCUGCAUCAGCGCCACAACAAGAUUCCGAAGCUGCCGCUCAGCCUCAGACAACUCCCUCAGUUCCACAAGCUUUACCAUCUGUGCCUCCACAUCUGGGGCCUCGGCCAGUGCUUGGGCCAGCUGUCGACUAUUUGAGUCCACUCCUUUGGGAGACUUGGAGGCUGGGCUCUGGAACUCCUUCUGCUCCCUCGGCCGAACACGCAGUCCAUGCUCCCCCAGCCUGUGCUUGGGCUGUGAUAAGACAGCCUCCCGAGCACUUAUAUCACCCAUCUCCACGAUGGCAAACACCCCCUGGCAAACCACACAAGAGCAAGGAUCAUGGUUUGGCAAUCAAGAAUUCAAGCAUGUUUUAACAGUAGAGGAGAAUCUUCGAAAUGGGAACCAACCCACAUACUGGGAAUAUUUACUUGCUGUUUUUGUAAAAGGGAACAUAUUUAGUUAGAUGAGUAAUCGUCACUCUUAUCCCAUACAUUUUCAUUCCUGGUUGCCAAUUAAAACCAUCUAUUGUCUUCUA